rnacentral:rRNA from 1 species
GGAGGAAAAGAAACUAACAAGGAUUCCCCUAGUAACGGCGAGUGAAGCGGGAUGAGCUCAAGCUUAAAAUCUCCGUACAAGUUUUGUACGGCGAAUUGUAGUCUAUAGAGGCGUGGUCAGCGUGAGCGCUUGGGGCAAGUUCCUUGGAAGAGGACAGCAUGGAGGGUGAUACUCCCGUUCAUCCCUGAGUGGCUCGUGCGUACGACCCGUUUUCUUUGAGUCGCGUUGUUUGGGAAUGCAGCGCAAAGUAGGUGGUAAAUUCCAUCUAAAGCUAAAUAUUGGUGCGAGACCGAUAGCGAACAAGUACCGUGAGGGAAAGAUGAAAAGAACUUUGAAAAGAGAGUUAAAGAGUACCUGAAACUGCUGAAAGGGAACCGAAUCGUUUUCAGUGUCUAUAAUCCGUGGCAUAUUUCAUUGGCGAGUGUAUGCGUGCGUGUGCUGUGGCAGCGGCCUUUUGGCUGCGCUUGGCGCGUGUGGUGUGUGUGCUUGCUGGUGCCCUGUGCUGCGGUGGGACGUCAAUGUCAGUUCGUAUGCUGCGGGAAAUGGCUGCCGAGGAGGUAGGGCUGACGCUUGCGUUUGUCUGUUAUAUCUUGGUGGACGAGUCGUCGCGGUUGGGACUGAGGUGCCUACAACGUGCUUUUGAGUGGGUUUGUGUCUCCGUGUGUGCCGUGUGCGGAUAGCUUGCUAUGCGUGUGUGGUUAUGUGUGGAUUGAUACGGGCUUCAACUUGUUGCCGUUCGGGACGUUGACGAAAUGGAGCGAUCCGACCCGUCUUGAAACACGGACCAAGGAGUCUAACAUGUGUGCAAGUGUUAGGGUGUGGAAACCCCAGCGCGAAAUGAAAGUAAAGGGCAGCGCAAGCUGUCUGAGGUAGGAAACGUUGCGGGCUUCGGUCUGCGGCGUGGCACUAUCGACCAAUCAUGAACCUUCGUGGUGAAAGAUUUGAGUUUGAGCACAUAUGUUGGUACCCGAAAGAUGGUGAACUAUGCCUGAGUAGGGUGAAGCCAGGGGAAACUCUGGUGGAAGCUCGUAGCGAUUCUGACGUGCAAAUCGAUCGUCAAACUUGGGUAUAGGGGCGAAAGACUAAUCGAACCAUCUAGUAGCUGGUUCCCUCCGAAAUUUCCCUCAGGAUAGCAGCAACUUAUUUACGAUAGUUUUAUGAGGUAAAGCGAAUGAUUAGAGGAUUCGGGGAAGAAACUUCCUCGACCUAUUCUCAAACUUUAAAUCUGUAAGACCUGCAGGUUUCUUAAUUGAACUUGUGGAUG